rnacentral:lncRNA from 1 species
UUAUUUUUAGGUAGUUUAAAUAAUAUAUUUGAAACAUUUGGAAAGAUUUGCAGAGUUUCUCUACAAAGAGAGUGGAUAGAGAAGGGGAGGAGGCAAAAUGAGCACAUGAAGAGCCUUGAGGCUUACAUUGUAUAUGGUCGAUCAGACUAAAUUGAGACACUGAAAGCAGCAAGCCACUUUUUGUCCUCUUCAAAACUACAGAGCAACACAUUCAAAUCUACAGAGCAGAACCUUCCACGAUCCUCUUCUGCUUGAGAAGGAUAUCCAGCAUCCAAACUUCACCUACAAAUAGCAUGAUCAGCAGAGGUUGGCACCAGGUGUUUCAGAAGAAACUGUAAAAAGACUUCUAGAAAAAUGCUAUCAAACCUUUGAUGGGGUGAGUUUGUCUGAAGCAGUUUUGUCAGUACAGAAAGCAGUGUGCUAUUUUUGAUGACUUUGUUGCUUGUUGACUUGUUUAAUAUUUGCUGUA